rnacentral:rRNA from 1 species
UGGGGAAUUUUGGACAAUGGGCGCAAGCCUGAUGCAGCGACGCCGCGUGAGGGAUGACGGCCUUCGGGUUGUAAACCUCUUUCAGUAGGGACGAAGCGCAAGUGACGGUACCUACAGAAGAAGCACCGGCCAACUACGUGCCAGCAGCCGCGGUAAUACGUAGGGUGCGAGCGUUGUCCGGAUUUACUGGGCGUAAAGAGCUCGUAGGCGGUUUGUCACGUCGUCUGUGAAAACCCGAGGCUUAACCUCGGGCCUGCAGGCGAUACGGGCAGACUUGAGUACUGUAGGGGAGACUGGAAUUCCUGGUGUAGCGGUGGAAUGCGCAGAUAUCAGGAGGAACACCGGUGGCGAAGGCGGGUCUCUGGGCAGUAACUGACGCUGAGGAGCGAAAGCGUGGGUAGCGAACA